rnacentral:misc_RNA from 1 species
CCACCUCCUCAGAAGCUCGACCUCGUGUUCCUCAAUCAACCUUUGGAUGUCGGCAAUCUCAGGCCGCCGGAAGCCGCCGCUGGUUGCUAGCGAUACCGGAUCGAGCCAGAACUUGGCGACAUCAUCGUCACGCUCAACGUGGAUAUGCGGCGGCUCGUUGCGGUCGCCCGCGAAGAAGAAAAAGCGGU